rnacentral:rRNA from 1 species
GCCAGACUCCUACGGGAGGCAGCAGUGGGGGAUAUUGCACAAUGGGGGGAACCCUGAUGCAGCGACGCCGCGUGGGUGAAGGAGUAUUUCGGUAUGUAAAGCCCUAUCGGCAGGGAAGAAGAAAGACGGUACCUGACUAAGAAGCCCCGGCUAACUACGUGCCAGCAGCCGCGGUAAUACGUAGGGGGCGAGCGUUAUCCGGAUUCACUGGGUGUAAAGGGAGCGUAGACGGCCAAGCAAGCCAGGGGUGAAAGCCCGGGGCCCAACCCCGGGACUGCCCUUGGAACUGCAUGGCUGGAGUGCAGGAGGGGCAGGCGGAAUUCCUGGUGUAGCGGUGAAAUGCGUAGAUAUCAGGAGGAACACCGGUGGCGAAGGCGGCCUGCUGGACUGCAACUGACGUUGAGGCCCGAAAGCGUGGGGAGCAAACAGGAUUAGAUACCCUGGUAC